AUUCCAGUUCCAAUAGCGUAUACUAAAGUUGUUGCAGUUAAAAAGCUCGUAGUUGAAUUUCUGGUCGUGGCAAUCGGUCAGCCCCUCACGGGGUUCGUACCAGGUUGCUGCGUCCAUCCUCGGGGAGAGCACAUCGGGCAUUCAGUUGUCUGGUGUGGGAUCCUCGUCAUUUACUGUGAGCAAAAUAGAGUGUUCAAAGCAGGCUUAGGCCGUUGAAUACAUUAGCAUGGAAUAAUAAGAUAGGACCUUGGUCUAUUUUGUUGGUUUGCAUUCCAAGGUAAUGAUUAAUAGGGAUAGUUGGGGGUAUUCGUAUUCAAUUGUCAGAGGUGAAAUUCUUGGAUUUAUGGAAGACGAACUACUGCGAAAGCAUUUACCAAGGAUGUUUUCAUCA
rnacentral:rRNA from 1 species